GUUGUGGCUCAGUGGUAGAGCACUCGCCUAGCAUGUGCGAGGCCCUGGGUUCAAUCCUCAGCACAACA
rnacentral:tRNA from 1 species